CAAGUGUGGUAGUUCCAUGCAAUUAACUCUUUCAGGGGGCGGCCAUGGGGAGGGGAGGCGAUGCUGUGCUCCGGCGCCGGAUCAAGCUGCGGGGGAGGCGGGAGCCACGCGAGGAGACGAAGGAGGAGAAAAUGAAGAGGCAUGGAGGAGAGGCGGGCGAGCGGGAAGGGCUGGGGCGUCGCCCACGACGCCGAGCUUGACGGCGGCCUUGCGAUGGUGCAGUCGGCGAGGACCUGUCGGAUCUGGCCGGAUCCGGUGGGAAAUUGCGCGCAAGCGGCGGAUCUGGAAGGAAGACGGCCGGAGCUUGGAGCACAAUGGCUGGUGGACGCGCCAUGGCCCACGCCGGCGAGAGAAGAGAGAGAUGAGUGGGAGAGAAAAGAGAGGACGGGAAGGAGAUGAGAGGCCAGAGGGAGAGAGAAGGGAGUGGUGGUCACUUCAACGGGCUGCAGCGUGGCACCGCCCCGGCCGCUGAGCCCGCCCGACCGCCCCAUCGCCUAGUCGCCACCCCCACUGACUGCCCCGUGCUCGCCCUUAGACCAAGUCGAGCCAGCGAUCGUUGCCCACAUCACCGAACCUCGCUCCCCUUCUCCACCCCAGCAAGCACACACGCUUGGAGGCGCCAAGGAGCUCGCCGGCAACACUCAGCAGACGUAGGAGAGCUGCGUGCAUGGUGCGUUUGAAUGUGCGGACGCGAGGCAGUGGAGGGCUCAGCAAGUUAGCAAAUUAUAUUGCCUUGUACUACUUUUUAACAACUUGGCUCCUACGAAGACUAAUGGAAGGAUCAUCAGACCAACGUAGUCAAAUUGGCUGCUUCAAAUUUUUGGCCUUGGAGCUGAUCAGCAGCACGCGGACAUGCAUCAGGAAGCCGACGGACAGCCAGAGCAGGAAGGCGUGGAUCUUGAGCUGCAGCGACAACAACAACUUGGGCGUUGCCUGCAAAAAAAACAACAGUUCAAGUGCUCAAUCAAGUGUAAGUUUGCAUUCAGUCAAUUAUUGCAGUUCUACAAUGACACAUUCAGAUUCUUGCAUCCAAAGUUAGAUAGGAACAGGGAAAGAAUCUCCAACGCUUAUUUACAUGGGAAAGAACACUCUUGUAACUUUGGUUCAGAUCCUCAGUCUAUCUGAAGCACCAUAAAUUGAGUUUGCAAGCAAAAGGAUCACACAAUCUGACAUUACAAGGAGCAGUCUUUUUCUUCACAUCUUUGUUUUAGCUUGCAUCCGACAGUUGUGUGAUCCAAGAUUAGGCAACCAAAACUGAACUUAUGACUACAUGAGUGCAUGAAGAACUGUUAAUAACUCCUAUUUGACUAAUCUUUGGAGAUUCUCUGGCUUUGGGGAUGGUCCUUUGGCGUUCUAUUGGGGUUCUAUUCAUGUGCACUAGGCACUUCUCAACACUUCAAUAAUUAUUCUAGAACCUCUUUAAAUUUGCAAUGCUCAUCAGAUUGUACAGGUUUUGCAGUCAACUAUUCAGAUUAUUGACUAGGGACGAUAUUUUCAGUCCUACUGAGUCUGCAAAGGAUGCGCCAAGCCAAGAUUAAUUAUGGUUUUUGUAAAUUGCAUCGGUUUACUUAUGUACCUGCUCCUUAGAUGAUUGUGAAUUUGUGAUUCAGUCGUGGAAAUUUUGGUGCUUUCUUGGAGUGUCCUGAAAAAUGGUUCAACGCGUGUUUGCCAGAAACUGUAGAUUAGCAAGACUAACGAGUGUUGAGCAUGUCAAUCUAUGUGUGGGCACGAGUGAAAAUGUAAAUCAUGUUAGAGACGAGUUUCUGGAAAAAGUCCCGGAGAUGCGCUGCUGCUGCUGCUGCUCUUGAUAGCCAAAGUGGAGGCUGCAGUUCUAAGACUUCAAGGAGGAAAGGAAUACAUGGUUGCUUCUUGGAAAGAUAAAAAUUGUUAUUGGUCACUCAAUCCUAAGCUGUUGUGGAUUAAUUUGAUUUGAAUUGGAUUGUACUCCAAGAGUCCACAAGAUGUCAUUUCCGAAUGUGGUACUAAUUUCAGAACAUAGCACCAUUUUCUAAAAAUAAGGCUGGGCAACAUGAGCCAACCACAUGGAUGUUUCAAGAGGAAUAAACUCACUGUAGCUGCCGAAUUGGUAUUAGUAAGUUGCUGUUCCAACUUCCUAGAGAACCACAGUUUUUUUUUUUACUAUUAUUAGCUGCAGCACAUGGCGACAAUGACGAGCACUUGUAUUUUUAAGUGUUGCACCUCUUUUUCGUUGACCUUUGAUUCAUGUAUAUAUGUAAAUUAUAUUGAAAUGUAUCAUAGCAAAUGUGAAUACAUAACUCUAUGGUUGAUGUCUCUA